rnacentral:rRNA from 1 species
AAGGUUAAGGCUACUUAAGUUUUUAAUCAUAAAAAUAACUCUUAAACUUAAGAGCUAUUCAAAUAUAGGUACAGCCUAUUUGAAACAGGAAACAACCUAAAGAACAGGGUAAUAUUCUACGGCACGUGUCCAAGUGGGCCUAAAAGCAGCCAACUUUCAAAAAGCGUUAAAGCUUAUACUCGUGCCCCCCCCCAAUCCCAAAACUAACAGACAACCCUUAUAAAGUACUAAAUAAUUCUAUAAAUUUAUAGAAGUUAUAAUGCUAAAACUAGUAACAUGAAGAAGUCCUUCUCCUAAGUGCACACGUAAGCCAAAAAGAACAACUCAUUGGCAUCUAACGCUAUUGAAUACAAAGCAACAACUCUUCAAGAAAACCUUGCUGGCACCAACGUUAACCUUACACAAGCGCACUCCAGGAAAGAUUAAAAGAGGUAGAAGGAACUCGGCAAACUUUAACCCCGCCUGUUUACCAAAAACAUCGCCUCCUGUAACAAUGGGGUCAGCUUCCAGUGCCAGUUAACGCCGGGUCCCUACCGGCAAGNNNNNNNGCGG